rnacentral:rRNA from 1 species
GACGAACGCUGGCGGCGUGCUUAACACAUGCAAGUCGAGCGGAGCGGCGAACGGGUGAGUAACGCGUGAGUAACUGCACCCCUCUCUGGGAUAACAGUUGGAAACGGCUGCUAAUACCGGAUAGUGGGGGAUGACUCGCGUCCUAUCAGCUUGUUGGGGGGGUGAUGGCCUACCAAGGCGGGGCCGGGUAGCCGUCCUGAGAGGGUGACAGGCCAGAUGGGGGUGAGAUACGCCGCAGACUCCCAAGGGGGGCAGCAGUGGGGGAUAUUGCACAAUGGGCGCAAGCCUGAUGCAGCGACGCCGCGUGGGGGAGGAAGGCGUGCGGGUUGUAAACCUCUUUCGCUAUCGAAAGGGUAGGUGGAGAAGAAGCGCCGGCUCACUACGUGCCAGCAGCCGCGGUAAUUC